UACGUAGGGUGCAAGCGUUGUCCGGAAUUAUUGGGCGUAAAGAGCUCGUAGGCGGUCUGUCACGUCGGCUGUGAAAACCCGAGGCUCAACCUCGGGCCUGCAGUCGAUACGGGCAGACUAGAGUUCGGUAGGGGAGACUGGAAUUCCUGGUGUAGCGGUGAAAUGCGCAGAUAUCAGGAGGAACACCGGUGGCGAAGGCGGGUCUCUGGGCCGAAACUGACGCUGAGGAGCGAAAGCGUGGGGAGCGAGCAGG
rnacentral:rRNA from 1 species